rnacentral:rRNA from 1 species
AAGUCGUAACAAGGUUUCCGUAGGUGAACCUGCGGAAGGAUCAUUAUCAAAACAGCGGACUUCGGUCCUUGCUGCACCCUUGUCUUUUGCGUACCGUAUGUUUCCUCGGCGGGCUUGCCUGCCGGUUGGACAUUAUCAAACCUUUUUGUAGUUGCAAUCAGCGUCAGAAAAUAAACAAUAAUUACAACUUUCAACAACGGAUCUCUUGGUUCUGGCAUCGAUGAAGAACGCAGCGAAAUGCGAAAAGUAGUGUGAAUUGCAGAAUUCAGUGAAUCAUCGAAUCUUUGAACGCACAUUGCGCCCCUUGGUAUUCCAUGGGGCAUGCCUGUUCGAGCGUCAUUUUGUACCCUCAAGCACUGCUUGGUGUUGGGCGUUUGUCCUGCAAAGGACUCGCCUGAAAGCGAUUGGCGGCCAACGUACUGGUGGUAGAGCGCAGCACAAUUUGCGUCUCUCCCUUCUACGUCGGCGUCCAUGAAGCCUUUUUUCAACGUUUGACCUCGGAUCAGGUAGGGAUACCCGCUGAACUUAA